rnacentral:rRNA from 1 species
CUAAGAAUCUUGCGCAAUGGGCGAAAGCCUGACGCAGCAAUUCCGCGUGGGGGACGAAGGCCCUAGGGUUGUAAACCCCUUUUGCGAGGGAAGAAGUUCUGACGGUACCUCGCGAAUAAGCACCGGCUAACUACGUGCCAGCAGCCGCGGUAAUACGUAGGGUGCAAGCGUUGUCCGGAUUUAUUGGGCGUAAAGAGCCCGCAGGCGGCCUGGCAAGUUUCAGGUGAAAUCUCCCGGCUCAACUGGGAGGGGUCCUGGAAAACUGCUGGGCUUGAGGCAGGGAGAGGGAUGUGGAAUUCCCGGUGUAGUGGUGAAAUGCGUAGAUAUCGGGAGGAACACCAGUGGCGAAGGCGGCAUCCUGGCCCUGUCCUGACGCUGAGGGGCGAAAGCGUGGGGAGCAAACCGG